rnacentral:lncRNA from 1 species
UGUAAGCUUGAGUUCGAGUCCAAAUAAAAAAAUACAUGAAAUUUGUCUUACAUGAAUGGCUAAACAUGACUUUAUUCACAAUAUCAAAUAUGCAAAUGCUAUGAAAUGUAGAGUAAACUAGUUCUUCACUGCAAAGUAAAACUGAAAAAUAGAGAUCCAACCAGUUGACGGCGACAUAAAACUGAAAGCUCAAACGAUGAUAAGCAUAAUCAAGUAUCAACCACCUAUCAUUGAGGCAAAGAAUGAAUAAGAAUUUAAACAAGAAACUUGAUUAAGGAAGUCAUAAAUACAUGGACAGAGGCAGAUCAAGAUUUUUGUUAGGAAGUAAUAUUAUCCAUGAAAAUAGUGUUUAAAAGGAAAAUUUUGAAUGUUUAUGGAAAUUUUCUUUUAAAAUUUCUUAUUUUCUAAUUUUUAACAGUGUCCCAAAAAAGAUAUGAGGGUAUCCAACACAAAAUUUUUCUUUAAAUUUUUUUGAUUUUCAACGUACACCCCACAAUGCCAUGUAAAUCCACCCACUAGACAUGGAAAAAAGCCAUAUUUACCUGUUUAGCUAACAAGUUUCUCCUUAAAUUUUCACUUCCUUGCAUAACAUCAUCCUUGUUUCUCCCAGAGUCAUAUAUAGAGGUAUUUGAUCUUUCCACUUAUGCCAAGAUAUAUCAUUGCAGGUGGAUUGAUUUAUCAACUAUUUCUUCCAUUGCGGUGAACCUUCUGUUGUAUUAUUCUGAACUUGUUGGGGUUCCUUCACAACAAAAGACAAUUCUCAUUAAGUUAUGCCAGAAGUAAGUAAUUAAUUAAUUAAUUAUGCAUAUGACUUGUGUAUGUAUAUAAAAGAGUCAUCCAAUUCAUAAUAAUAUGUAGUUAUAUACUAAAUCCCAUUUAUUAUCAUAAAACCCCUUUUUUGCCAUCCUUUUUUAAAAUCAUUUUAUUUAGAAAUAAAAUAAAAAUUUUGUGGUUCUAAUUUCUCAAUAUCCAGAUAAAAUUUAGAAAAAUGUUUUUGACUUAGGUAUUUUCAUGAUAAUCCUUAAAACCAAAGAUAAUAUUUUUUUCAUAAGAAAUAAUUAUUAAGAAUCCUUUAAUAUUUAGGCAGAGUCUCAAAAAAUAUUUACUUAGGAUAUUAUCUUAUUUUGUUUUUAAAAAAUAAUUUCUUUUAUAGUCAUCUUUUACUACACUAUAUAUUUUUUAAGAAUAGUAAAAUGUAUGUGAUGUAACAUGAAGCAAAUUAAUGAUGCAAAGUAAACUAAAAGAUAAAAUGACCAAUUUAAUUCAUAUUAUAAAUCUUUAACAUUAUCACUUUAUAUUUUUUCAUUGUUGUUGUUUUUUUUUUUAAAUAUUUAGUGAUAAAAUGAAAAUAUUUUUGUGUUUUAGAAGUAACCUUUGUGCAUUAUCAACAUUAUAAAAUUUAUAAAUAUGAUAAUAUUAAAUUUUUAAGUUCAAUUCUCAUCAUAUUUAAUUUAAUUUUGUAUUAAAUUUAUUUAAUUAUGUGUUGAUUUAUUUAUUUGAUUUAAUUCAAUGAUUUUCUUAUAUAAUACUUUCUUAUACUAUUAAGUUCAUAAAAAAAAUUAAUAACUAAAGAAUUUUCUAAAAUUUUCAUUGACAUAGCAAUUUUUUUUUGGAAGUCUUGAAGGCUUGGCAACAAGAGUAGGUUUUUUUGCUUUAUAAUAACCGAAAAAAGUCAUAUAUAAUCCUAACUAGAAAUAAGGAGAAUGACUAUAUGGUUUUAAUUUGAAAUUCAAAACUAGCAAUUAAAAAUCCCCUCUCCCCAUGACCCGAAUACCAUAAUCACUUAUUAUGAUUAGAUUUAACAAUUUAAAAUAUGACAUGAUUAUAUAAUAUGAAUACAAUAGAAAAAUAGAAUAAGAAAGUGAUAGAAUUUAAAAUUAUAAUAAUAACUAUAUAUAAGUUUAACAAAAUCAAAAAAAAAAUAUUUUAUAUUUUUAUAUCGAUACAAAAUAUGACAUAAUUUUUUGUGCAAAAUACGAAACAAAUACAUGAAUUUCAUUAUAUUACACUAUAUGAAUACGUGAAUCGUCAUGUUUACUUAUGAUAAACAUGGUUAAUCAAAUUUUUUUUAAUUAUAUUAAGAAAAAAUGAAAAAAAAAGUAUGUAAACAUUAAGUUGCUAGCUAUAAAUUAUUAGCCUAAAACACGAAUGGUUUAUAUUUUGAAUUUUUUUGUCCAUGGAAAUGCAUUUUUUUAAUAAUAAAUAAUAAAUCAAUCAAUCAAUCUAGUAAUGAAAUAAUUAAAAAUUUAAAACUAGAGAAAAUAUUCACAUGUAUGCAAAUGCAUCUUCAUAAAUUAAUUUCAUUUCACACUGUUCAAAAAGAAUGAUAUUCGAUAUAUAGCUAGAUCAAGACAACGAGAAUUUGGAUGAAAUAUGGACAAUCUUCAAUUAAUUAACAAAUCAGUGAAAAUAUGUUUAUAUUGCCGAAAUCAAUAAAAACUAAAAGAAAUAUAAUAAAAAAGGCCAAAACCUUUUGUCCCUUUCAUAAUAAUGCUCCUUCCAACAAUGUUUUAUACCUUGGCCUUUGAGGAAAGUGAUGGCCUGGAGUAGCAUGCUGUCUUCUUCCAAAUUAACCACCCAAAAAUUCCCACUAAUUAGACGAAUAAUAAAAAAUUAUAAAGAUCUCAGUGAAAUUUAAAAAAUUAUAUUGAUGUAAAAGUUGAAUUACAUAAUAGUAUUUUUGCCAUUUACAUGUUUUGAUUUGGUUUAUAUUUUUAAUUUUCCUUUUUAAAUGUCCAUGAAUUCAUCAUCACUAUUGCAAUGGUAUCUUUUGGUAUUAUUGUUGGGGCUGCUUCUACAAAUUUUGCCACAACAAUAAUCUCCACAAAGUAUAUUGUAUGUAAAUUUGUGGGAUAAUUAACUUCCAAUUCAAAUUGGCUCCGUAUGCGUCUUGAUAUUUUUUGAACAGUAUUUUUUGAACACUUUACUGUUCAUAUGUAUAGGAUACUUUGAUUUUCAAAAUUAAUAUAAAAAAUUGUCAAAACAAAAUUUAUUCAUGUUUGAUGUCUUAUCACACGAGUUCAUAUAACAUAGUGUAUAAAUAACAUAUCAUUGAAUUAAUUAUUAAAUCACCACAAUAAAAACAAGCAUGGAGAACCAUCUAUGACAUGCAAGUAGACAUAACUACAUACUGCUCAUCCAUACAAGCUGCUAUAAGGAACUAAUAAAGAACCAGCAAACCAAACUGAACACAAAAAACCAUGUUUCUUUAGAGUACAUGAAUUUUGCCAACAAUGUCUUGGCCAAGCGAUAAGAAGAGGAUUUAUGAGACAUGUAAGCUUGAGUUCGAGUCCAAAUAAAAAAAUACAUGAAAUUUGUCUUACAUGAAUGGCUAAACAUGACUUUAUUCACAAUAUCAAAUAUGCAAAUGCUAUGAAAUGUAGAGUAAACUAGUUCUUCACUGCAAAGUAAAACUGAAAAAUAGAGAUCCAACCAGUUGACGGUGCCAUAAAACAGAAAGCUCAAACGAUGAUAAGCAUAAUCAAGUAUCAACCACCUAUCAUUGAGGCAAAGAAUGAAUAAGAAUUUAACAAGAAACUUGAUUAAGGAAAUCAUAAAUACAUGGACAGAGGCAUAUUCAAGAUUUUUGUAGGGAAGUAAUUAUUAUCCAUGAAAAUAGUGUUUAAAAGAAAAUUUUGAAUGUUUAUGGAAAAUUUCUUUUAAAAUUUCUUAUUUUCUAAUUUUAACAGUGUCCCAAAAAAAUAUGAGGGUAUCCAACACAAAAUUUUUCUUUAAAUUUUUUUGAUUUUCAAUGUACACCCCACAAUGCCAUGUAAAUCCACCACUAUACAUGGAAAAAGCCAUAUUUACCUGUUUAGCUUAACAAGUUUCUCCUUAAAUUUUCAUUUCCUUGCGUAACAUUAUCCUUGUUUCUCCCAGAGUCAUAUAUAGAGGUAUUUGAUGUUGCCAGCCACGAUCCCAAAAUAUAUCAUUGCAGGUGGAUUGAUUAUCAACUAUUUCUUCCAUUGUGGUGAAACCUUCUGUUGUAUUAUUCUGAACUUGUUGGGGUUCCUUCACAACAAAAGACAGUUCUCAUUAAGUAAGUUAUGCUAGAAGUAAGUAAUUAAUUAAUUAAUUAAUUAUGCAUAUGACUUGUGUAUGUAUAUAAAAGUCAUCCAAUUCAUAAUAAUAUGUAGUUAUAUACUAACAUAACUUUGUUUCCAUCAUCGUUUCAUCAUUAGUAUCAAUAUGAUCAAGAACAACAAAUUAAUUAAUUCAGCAUAAUAGUUAGAAAAAAAAAAAUUGGUUAGGUACCUCUGUUACCUCUGUUAUGGCAGGCACAGGAUGUUUUGAAUCCAUGAUGACACUU